rnacentral:misc_RNA from 1 species
GAUGAAGACCCAGGGGAGAACCGGACGGCGACCUCCCAGUAGCAGCGCACAUGGACCAGGCAAAGACGACAGGGAGAUGGUGUGCUUCAAGUGCGGGACCAAGGGGCACCGAGCGAGAGCGUGUCGACAGAAGACGUGGUGUAGUGUUUGCAAAAAUGACACACACAGGGACGCGACAUGCAGACGAAAAGACAAAGACAGAGACCGAAGGGACGGCGUGAGCAAAGUGUCGGAGAAUGCUGAGGUAAAGGAGGACUUCGCGUUCAAGAUGGUGGACGGACGGGCCAGUGACCAGCGGCAGCCGGCGCGCACCAUCCAGGAGAGGGGCCUGAUGGUGGACACCGGGGCCACAUCCCACGUCAUCAACGACAUCGCCUUGUUCACAAGUUUCGACAGCACCUUCAGGCCGGAGACUCACAGCGUCGAGUUGGCUG